AGUGAACGCUGGCGGUAGGCCUAACACAUGCAAGUCGAACGGCAGCACAGUAAGAGCUUGCUCUUACGGGUGGCGAGUGGCGGACGGGUGAGGAAUACAUCGGAAUCUACUUUUUCGUGGGGGAUAACGUAGGGAGACUUACGCUAAUACCGCAUACGACCUACGGGUGAAAGCAGGGGAUCUUCGGACCUUGCGCGAUUGAAUGAGCCGAUGUCGGAUUAGCUAGUUGGCGGGGUAAAGGCCCACCAAGGCGACGAUCCGUAGCUGGUCUGAGAGGAUGAUCAGCCACACUGGAACUGAGACACGGUCCAGACUCCUACGGGAGGCAGCAGUGGGGAAGAUUGGACAAUGGGCGCAAGCCUGAUCCAGCCAUACCGCGUGGGUGAAGAAGGCCUUCGGGUUGUAAAGCCCUUUUGUUGGGAAAGAAAAGCAGCAGGUUAAUACCCCGCUGUUCUGACGGUACCCAAAGAAUAAGCACCGGCUAACUUCGUG
rnacentral:rRNA from 1 species